AUUUCCGUGGUGUAGUGGUUAUCACACCCGCCUAACACACGGGAGGUUCCCGGUUCGAUCCCGGGCGGAAACA
rnacentral:tRNA from 1 species